CAUUAGGUGGCCGAUAAUAAGCAAUGGAAUUUUAACCCAUUUUAUAGUAUACUAAUACUUCUAAUGA
rnacentral:tRNA from 1 species